AUAAUCAUAAUUAAUGACGGUAUCAACAGAAGAAGCACCGGCUAACUACGUGCCAGCAGCCGCGGUAAUACGUAGGGUGCGAGCGUUAAUCGGAAUUACUGGGCGUAAGGUGCGCAGGCGGUGUAAGUCAUGUGAAAUCCCCGGGCUUAACCUGGGAAUUGCGUUUGAAACUAUAUGACUAGAGUGUAACAGAGGGAAGUGGAAUACCAUGUGUAGCAGUGAAAUGCGUAGAGAUAUGGAGGAACAUCGAUGGCGAAGGCAGCUUCCUGGGUUAACACUGACGCUCAUGUACGAAAGCGUGGGGAGCAAACAGGAUUAGAUACCCUGGUAGUCCACGC
rnacentral:rRNA from 1 species